GGACAACCUGCCCUGAGGACUGGAAUAAUCCCGGGAAACUGGGGGUAAUUCCAGAUAUGUCAGAACUCCUGGAAUGGGUUCUGGCAGAAAUGCUCCGGCGCCUCAGGAUGGGUCUGCGGCCUAUCAGGGUAGUAGUGGGUGUAACGUACCCACUAGCCUACGACGGGUACGGGUUGUGAGAGCAAGAGCCCGGAGAUGGAUUCUGAGACAUGAAUCCAGGCCCUACGGGGUGCAGCAGGCGCGAAAACUUUACAAUGCGGGCAACCGCGAUAAGGGGACCUCGAGUGCUGGGUUACAAACCUGGCUGUUGGGCUGCCUAAAAAGCAGUCUAUAGCAAGGGCCGGGCAAGACCGGUGCCAGCCGCCGCGGUAACACCGGCGGCUCGAGUGGUAACCGCUGUUAUUGGGUCUAAAGGGUCUGUAGCCGGCCGACUAAGUCUCUUGGGAAAUCUGGCAUCUCAAGUGUCAGGCUGCCAGGGGAUACUGGUCGGCUUGGGACCGGGAGAGGUGAGAGGUACCUCGGGGGUAGGGGUGAAAUCUUGUAAUCCUCGAGGGACCACCAGUGGCGAAGGCGUCUCACCAGAACGGAUCCGACGGCAAGGGACGAAAGCUAGGGGCACGAACCGGAUUAGAUACCCGGGUAGUCCUAGCCGUAAACGAUACUCGCUAGGUGUCGGCCACGGUGCGACCGUGGUCGGUGCCGUAGGGAAGCCGUGAAGCGAGCCACCUGGGAAGUACGGCCGCAAGGCUGAAACUUAA
rnacentral:rRNA from 1 species